ACGCUCGACACCUACGGGAAGCAGCAGUGGGGAAUAUUGCACAAUGGGGGAAACCCUGAUGCAGCGACGCCGCGUGGAGGAAGAAGGUCUUCGGAUUGUAAACUCCUGUUGUUGGGGAAAAAGAGGAUGGUACCCAACAAGGAAGUGACGGCUAACUACGUGCCAGCAGCCGACGGUAAUCUGAGGCGGGCUGGCAAGGC
rnacentral:rRNA from 1 species